UCAGGCCGUCACUCAUUAUAGUGACCGAACGUGCUUGCUGAUGUUAGCUGGGCUUGGUGAGGCUAUGGUUGGCCUUAAUUUGACCGAUAAGAAGGUCGAAGGUUCGCAGCUCGGUCCGAUUAGUAAUUGAAGGAAUCCUUUGGUUGUUCGCCACCACCAUCACCUUUCAUCAAGUGAUCAUCUUCCAAA